UAAGACGAACUGUCCUAACGUUGUUCGGAAUCACUGGGCUUAAAGGGCGCGUAGGCGGUCCGACAAGUCAGGGGUGAAAUCCUGCAGCUUAACUGCAGAAGUGCCUUUGAUACUGUCGGUCUUGAGGGAGAUAGGGGUGUGCGGAACUCACAGUGGAGCGGUGAAAUGCGUUGAUAUUGUGAGGAACGCCGGAGGCGAAAGCGGCGCACUGGAUCUCUUCUGACGCUGAGGCGCGAAAGCUAGGGGAGCAAACGGGAUUAGAUACCCCGGUAGUCCUAGCCCUAAACGAUGAGUACUAGAUUGUAGACUUACAUGGGUUUACAGUCGAAGCAAAAGUGUUAAGUACUCCGCCUGGGGAGUAUGGUCGCAAGGCUG
rnacentral:rRNA from 1 species